AAGGAAACUUUAAGGAGGGGGAAAGGAAGGGAGUGAGGGAGGGAGAAAGGGAGGUGAGCGGGGCAGUGCCUUCCCGGGUGCCAGGGUCCCGACGUGCUCUGGCACUGUUCAAGCUGACGAGAUCCUGAUCCUGCGAGAUCUUGGGGUCCCUCCCAGGGCCGGGGACGUGGGGAGAAGUGCCUGCCCAGGGCCGUUCCUACCCGGAUGAUUUAACUAACGCCCUGGUGAGGGGAGCUAAAGAACAACCCCUAUUUAAAUAAACAACCAAAGAGGUGUUUGUAACUCAGCCUUAGCGAAUGGUGACAAGUUAUUAGCCUUCGCCUGUUAAAUGAAACAGAAGCAUCCAGGAAAAGCCCCUAAAUCCAAUCUGCAUAAAGCAGAGCCCUGCUGUGAAAAUGACGGCAGCAAGAAACUGAUUCACUCGGCGGCGGCUGCGGCGGCUGCGGCUGCAGCGGCGGGCGAGGCGCGGCCUCGGUGCGAACGCCAGGGCUCGCUUCUCCCGGUUACAUAACCCUCUGGCACAUCGAGGACACGAGCAAACUGGCAGCUGGAGUGGGGGAGCGCUCUGGAAAGUCGAUCUGACGCCCCCAGUGGCCAAAAGCCCCCAGCGUCCAGCCAUCGCCGGCCAAGUGAGGUAAGAGGGCAGCAGCGAGGGCCCUAGACUUCCUCUUCCUGGCUGUCAAUUUCCCAAGCCUGAUCUGCAGACGGCCACUUCUAGGAGAGAUGCCCAAGAACAGCUUCUCUCAGAGGUCCGUUUCAUUUAACUAACGAGGGUGAUCUCCUCGAGGAUGGGUGCCAGGUUUAUUUAUUUACAUUCUCUCUAAAGGGGACAAGGAUUGGACUUUGAAGCCAGAGGCAGAACUUGCUGGAGUCCUAGGGUGUGUUUUUGUUUGUUUGUUUGUUUUAAAUAGAGAAAAUGGUCCAAAGGUUCUCCAGUUCAGCACCAGGACCAACAUCGUCCAGUCAUCAGUCUUGUCUCUGGGACUGCACAGGCUGCCCUUGUGUAGGGAAUGCGUUCCCUUCUCACCUUCAUCUUUUGGGAUCCCUAGUUUUAAGAAGAUGCAUCUUCAUGAGUUCAAAAUCAGCCUCGGACAUUUACUAGCUGUGUGAACCUGGGCAAGUCACUUAACCUUGUUCACUCAGUUUCCUCCUCUGUAAAAUGAGCUGGAGAAGGAAAUGGCAAACCACUCCAUUAUCUUUUCCAAGAAGACUUUCAAAAAAGGGGUUUGGGGAGUUGGAUGCCAUUGAAAUAACUGAGCAAAGAAUAUACUUCAAAUAGGAGCUCAAAAACCUUCUCCUACAGGAAACCUCUCCGGAUCUCCCCUUCUCCCCCAGCUUCCAGUGUCUCCUUCUUCGACUUCUCUUGUAUCUAUUUUCUAUCUCCCCCUAGAUGUUUGUUUUCUAUGCUGGAUAGGUUGUAAAUUUCUUGAGGACCGAGACUGUUUCACUUCUACCUUUGAACCUCCAGAACUGGGCAACAAAGUAUUAGUGCUUAAUAAAUGUUUGUGUCUAGCCAUGCUCCCACGUCCCUCCUUUUGGAAUAUCUCUGACUUGGCAGUCUUAGCUUCCUCCAUGGCCACUACCUUCCUGGAGCCCUGAAAUUAACACCAAACACAGCCAAUAAGAGGUCAAGUUUUUGAAGUCUGGGAAGUUUGACAUAAACUAACUCCUAGAAAUCUUGUACUCAAAAGGAGCAGAGGCAUUCCUAAAUGGAUGUGUUGCUGUCUAACUGUUCUGGAGCAUAAGGAACGGAUGCUCACCCAACACACCAGAAAAAAGUAAUCCCUCUGAGUCUACCCAUUCCUUUCUCCUACUGAAGGCUCCAUGGAUUGUGGGAGAUACAGAUUCUGAAAUUCUGAAACAAUCCAGCCUGGUAGAUCUGGGAGUCUUGGAUGAGAUUUCUUCACUCUUGGAUCUUAGUUCUUUAUCAGAGAAACUUGCUGCAAAUAGUGCCCCCACCCCCACCCCAACUUAACUGUUUUCCUUCUAAUUUGAACAUCAUUGAUUUUGUUUAUUCAGAAAACUUUUCAAUUUUAUGUAGUCAGAAUUGUCCAUUCUAUCUUCUAAGGUCUCUUUUCCUUCUGUGGUCAUGAAUUCUUUCUCAAUCCCUAGCACAGGUAUUUUCUAAUAUGGCCUUUUAAAACCUUUUAAUCUAAAUUAGUAUCCAUUUGGAAUUUAUCUUGGUAUAUGGUGGAAAUGUUAGUCUAAACCAAUUUCCUGCCAGAUUAUUUUCCAGUUUUCCUAUCAAUUUUUGCUGUGUAGUGAGCCCUUACCUGAGUAGAUAGGUUCUUUGGGUUUGCCAAACACUAAACAGAUAUGUUUAUUUUUUUUUGAAUGUUGCAUAUGUAAUCUUUCUAUAAAUCAACUUUUCUAUUUUUUAUCCAGUAUCAAAUAUUAGGAUGAUUCUGCUUUGUAGUAUAAUUUGAGAUUAGCUUCUGCCAGGCCACUUCCUUUCCCACUUUCCCCCUGUAUAUUCCUGUAAGAUUCUUGAUCUUUUGUUUUUCCAGAUGAGUUUUGUUAUUAUUUUCCUAACUCUAUCAAGUUAUCCUUUGAUAGUUUGAUUGGUAUGACAUAGAAUAAGUAAAUUAACUUAGUAAUAUUGUGUUAGGUUGACUUGGUAUAUUCAUGGGCAAUUAAUACUUCUCAAAUUAUUUAGAUUAGUUUUUGUAUCUGUAAUGCAUGUUUUAUAGUUGUGUUAACAUAGUUUCUGUGUGUUUUGGUAGAUAUACUCCCAAAUAUUUUGUACAUUCUAUAGUUAGUUUGAAUUUAAUUUCUCUAUCUCUUCUUUUGGGGUCUUCUUGUAGCAUACAGAAAAACCAAUGAAUUAUGUGGGCUUAUUUUAUAUUAAGCUAAUAUACUGAAGUUAUUAAUCAUUUCAAUUCAUUUUAGUGAUAUUUUACGAUUCUAUAAAUAGACCAUAUAAUCUGCAAAAAAUAAUAAAUUGAUUUCUUCUUUACUCAUGUUUAGUCCCUCAAUUUCUUUUUUCUUAUGACAAUAGCUAUUAUUUCCAGCACUAAAUAACAGAUAUCUUUGCUUUAUAGCUGUUCUUAUUGGAAGAGUGAUCAGUACUUCUCUAUUACAUAUAUGAUUGGCUCUUGGUUUUAGAUACCUAUUAAUUAAUAUAUUAAAGAAAGGUAUAUUUAUUUAUAUGCUUUUUAGUAUUUUCAUAAGAAACUUCUUAUUUUGUCAAAAGUAUUUUAGCAUCUAUUAAUAUAAUCAUAUGAUUUUUAUUAUUGUUGUUUUAAAUAUAAAUAUGGUCCAUUAUGUUUUCUCAUAUUGAACUAACCCUGAAUUUCUAGCAUAAAUCCAACCAGCUUGUAAUUUAUAAUCUGAAAAAUAAUUAUCAUAGCCUAUAUGCUAAUUUUUUGCAUUGAUAUUCAUUAGGAGUGGUGAUCUUUAGUUUUCUUUCUCUGCUUUCUCUUACCCUGGUUUAGGUAUCAAGACCAUAUGUAUAUUAUAGAACAAGUUUGGUAGGAUCUCUUUUCUUAUUUUUGUAAACAGUUUAUGUAAUAUUGUAAUUGUUCUUUGAAUAUUUGAUAAAAUUCACUUGUAAAACCA